AUUGAACGCUGGCGGCAUGCCUUACACAUGCAAGUCGAACGGCAGCGGACCUUCGGGUGCCGGCGAGUGGCGAACGGGUGAGUAAUAUAUCGGAACGUACCUUUCAGUGGGGGAUAACGUAGCGAAAGUUACGCUAAUACCGCAUAUUCUGUAAGCAGGAAAGCAGGGGAUCGCAAGACCUUGCGCUGAUUGAGCGGCCGAUAUCAGAUUAGCUAGUUGGUGAGGUAAAGGCUCACCAAGGCGACGAUCUGUAGCGGGUCUGAGAGGAUGAUCCGCCACACUGGAACUGAGACACGGUCCAGACUCCUACGGGAGGCAGCAGUGGGGAAUUUUGGACAAUGGGCGCAAGCCUGAUCCAGCCAUGCCGCGUGAGUGAAGAAGGCC
rnacentral:rRNA from 1 species